UGGGGAAUAUUGGACAAUGGGCGCAAGCCUGAUCCAGCAAUGCCGCGUGUGUGAAGAAGGCCUUCGGGUUGUAAAGCACUUUUAUCAGGAGCGAAACGCUGUCGGCUAAUACCCGGCGGAACUGACGGUACCUGAGGAAUAAGCACCGGCUAACUUCGUGCCAGCAGCCGCGGUAAUACGAAGGGUGCAAGCGUUAAUCGGAAUUACUGGGCGUAAAGCGUGCGUAGGCGGUUUCUUAAGUCUGCUGUGAAAUCCCCGGGCUCAACCUGGGAAUGGCAGUGGAUACUGGGAGGCUAGAGUGUGUCAGAGGGUGGUGGAAUUCCCGGUGUGGCGGUGAAAUGCGUAGAGAUCGGGAGGAACAUCAGUGGCGAAGGCGGCCACCUGGGACAACACUGACGCUGAGGCACGAAAGCGUGGGGAGCAAACAGGAUUAGAUACCCUGGUAGUCCACGCCCUAAAAGCGAUGCGAACUGGAUGUUGGUCUCAACUCGGAGAUCAGUGUCGAAGCUAACGCGUUAAGUUCGCCGCCUGGGGGAGUACGGUCGCAAGACUGAAACUCAAAUGAAUUGACGGGGUCAUAGCUGUUUCCUG
rnacentral:rRNA from 1 species